AAAGAAACGGCAGCGUUGCUAACGCAAAAAAUUAAAAUCACAACAUUUGCCGAGACAAUACAGAGCACACAUUUUUUUUUUUUUUAACGCAAAAAUCACAUUAUUUCCUGAACUUCUGUAACAAAAGCUCUCUGUGUUAGCAUCUCCACUUCUAUGUUGGUUGUCUCCGACUCUCCGUGGUUUUGGCAACAGAAACACAGAAACACAAAGUCGCACUGAAAUCAACCCAUUUUCCGCAUCAAUGUAAGAGACACACCCUUGCCACGUUUUUCUGCUUACCAGAAGAAUCAAUUAUCUUCAAUUUAGUACAUGUUCAAACUUAAUCAUAUUGCGCAGACACACUGAGGAAGUGUUGUAACUCUGUAUUUUCUUUACACUCUUGAAUUUAAUGGAACCUUGUUAGCGGGUGAUCGUUGCUACUGAAAUUGGAGGGUGGAUACAGAACGCCUGUCACGUGUUUGAUCAAAUGCCACUGUGAUGCGUUCCUUUCUUGUUCUGUUUUAAUGUCAUUUUUCACAAGAUGGUUUCGUGCUUUCCUUCUACUCCUAAGAAGUUGGUGAUGACCAUUGGAUUGUUCCUUGGUGGCGCCUCCCUUUUUGCUAUUGGUGUGCAUCUUUCAUAUGUCAAUGUUGCCCCUCAACAAGCUCGAACAAAAGCUCGAAAUGAUCUUUGUCAAAGAACGAUUGAGACAGAAAUAUGGCAAGUGAAAGAAGGGUACUCAACUCAUUGAUCUAGGUGUCUUCUUUGCUAGAUUGUGAUGCAUAAAGAACAGCCCAUAUGUUGCUUUAAAUUUGGGCAGGUCAACAGUUAGAAUGUACUUGAUUAUGGGUGCCUGGGGCUCAGGGCAUACUAAUAGUUGUUUGACCUCGAUAAUUUGGGUGGGUAAGGGGGUUUGUCAUGUGUUGAAUCACUGUGAUAUCCACUCUGAAUUGACAAUGUUUGCCAGUUAAUAGAACUAAGCAUUUUAGAGAGAUCUCGUUUGGGAUAAAAAAAAAAAUCAUCGUAUUUAAUUUUCAGUCUCAUGAGAAUUAAAGUAUAAGUGAACGCAAGGAAUAAAAAAUCACAAUUUAUUGUAAUUUAUCAAUCUAUAUAUUGGAUAUUUUCAAGAUGCAAUAUGAAUUUUAUAUGUAAUCUUGAAUUCAAAAAAUAUAUGUUGCAAAAUACCAUGACAUAAUGGUGGAUAUUUCUGACAAGAAUAUUCUCAUACAUUUCAAAAUGGAACUCUCAUUGUAUCGACAUAAAGUUGGAACUUAUCGCAAUAUAUCACACAUUAUAUGACACAAAUUAUUUUACUUUUCAUGCUUUACAAUUAUAUCCUUCAAAAUGCUUGAAGAGAGCCAAACCCUUAUAAAUAUGAAUGGUAACAUGGAUCGUAUAAUUUGGUCGGGUAUAGGCAAAGAAGGAAUCUAUCUCCAAAUAGUUGUUUUAUAUUUUUUUUAUUUUUUAUUUGUCUAUCUCCAUACAGUUAUGGAAAGGACAUUGACCAAUAAGGCUAUUGAAGUGGGGAUGGAAAGACUGAGACAUCUAAGAUUACUUUUGAUGUUAAUUUAGUUAUAUUUUGUGAUAUUAGUGGUUGGUGUUCUUUACAACACCUUGGCAAAUGUACAUUUUGUUUAUAACAUUUUGACAAAUAUCAUGCUUCAUUAUUUACAUUAACACUUCUACAAUUUCCUUCAUUCGAUACUCAUCCUCAUAAUUAUCCUUGUCUUCAUCUCAUAUGGGUCGUCCACAUAAGUUUCCUUUUUCCAUUAUUUUCUAUUACAAGUCAUCUGUCAUCUCUCUUACAGUAGUUUAACUUUUUAAAAUCAUUUGUGAUGAUUUCAUCCCAUGUUAACUUCGGUCGCCCUCUUUAUCCUUUAAUCCCAAUUAUUCACCCUCUUCGUACCGAAGCGUCCACGAGUCUUCUUCAGAUAUGUCCAUAUAACAUAAGUCAAUUUUCUCACAUUUUGAUUAGUAACCCUACAUCUUCUAGGUACCUUUAUCAUCGACCUUAACAUCCUCAUUUCCGAUAUAUGAAUUUAUUGUUCCUGUUUCUUUUUUAAGGCUCAACACUAUUUCCAUUAUUUAAAUUAAAAAAAAAUGGAAAAAAAAAUGAAACAUCACUAACAUGAUUUUGAUCUGUGCUUGCAAAACAUUCUCUUAUAUAUGUAUGUGUGUGUGUAUUGUUCCUUGAACGACUGACGUUUUCCUUGUUUUAAUCUUCAACCAUUGCACAUUUUGGAAUAGAGAAUUGCUGAUUUCACACCAUUAAAUCAUCUAUUUCUUAAGGUUAAUGAUGUAGUGAAGUUGUCAAGAAUGGUAUUUUGGGAUUCUCCUAUAGUUUCUUUCUACUCUUAUACUGAAUAUGAGGAAGAAAUGUGCAAUUAAUUAUCGAGUACAAUGUGGUGCUCUGGCUAAAUGUCUUGAGCAGAACCUUUUGGUGCAGUCUUUUAGAAUUAGGGCAGGCAAGUGAUUCUACUUAUAGUAACACGUUGUAUCGGCCAUAGGCUUGCUUCAAGAUGUGACUGGAAAAUCAAUGACGUUGUCAGAGUAGCAUCACUUCUUUCUUCUGGUACUGCUGUCGAAAUAGGUUUCAACAGGUGCCAUGGAAGAUAACAAGUAUUCGUGCUUUUGAAACUGCCAGUCAGAAAGUCAAUUUUUCUCUUUGCUUGCUGUCUGGAUUGUAACCUCUUUGUUAAUCAGUCUUAGUGUUUCUCUUUGCCUGGAAAAAUAUAUAUAUAUAUGUAGCUCACAUAAUUAAAACUGAUUA